AACGAACGCUGGCGGCAUGCCUAACACAUGCAAGUCGAACGAGACCUUCGGGUAUAGUGGCGCACGGGUGCGUAACGCCGGGGAACCUGCCCUUAGGUUCGGAACAACUCCACGAAGGGGGAGCUAAUACCGGAAAAUGUGCUAGGACCAAAGAUUGACUGACCUUGGAUGGGGGCGCGUUGGAUAAGCUGGUUGGUAGGGUAAAAGCCUACGAAGGCGACGAUCCAUAGCUGGGCUGAGAGGAUGAUCAGCCACACUGAGACUGGGACACGGUCGAGACUCCUGCGGGAGGCAGCAGUGCGGAAUAUUGGACAACGGGCGAUAGCCUGAUCGAGUCCUGCCGCUAAAGUGAUGUAGGCCUUAGGGUUGUAAAGCUCUUUUACCCGUGAUGAUAAUGACGGUACCGGGAGAAUAAGCUCCGGCUAACUCCGUG
rnacentral:rRNA from 1 species